GUGCAACAGAUGACACUUGUGAAAGAGAGCCUUUCCAAUAAUAUAGAAAUGGAUACUAAUUGUACUGGGGUCUAUGAGGGGACCAUUGAGAAGGUGAGGGUGCAAGUUACCAGUUCCAGAAGGAAGAGCUCGGGGGUUUGUUUGGAUUUAAAGGAUGAGGGCAUGAGAAAGUUAUUCACCACCUAGUUAAUUACUAGUACUUAAUAGGAAACUGAAGCAUGAAAGGGUG
rnacentral:lncRNA from 1 species